GACGAACGUUGGCGGCGUGCUUAAUACAUGCAAGUCAACUGAAGCAGUGGUAGCAAUAUCGCUGUGGAGGUGGCGCACGGGUGAGUAACACGUAGGUAAUCUGCCUUCAGGUCUGGCAUAACUCCGGGAAACCGGGGCUAAUAGCAGAUGAUGCAGCGGCUCGACAUCGAGACAGUUGUUAAAGCUAUGGCGCCUGAAGAUGAGCCUGCGUCUGAUUAGCUAGUUGGCGGGGUAACGGCCCACCAAGGCAACGAUCAGUAGCUGGUCUGAGAGGAUGAUCAGCCACACUGGAACUGAGACACGGUCCAGACUCCUACGGGAGGCAGCAGUAAGGAAUAAUGCUCAAUGGAAGAAAUCCUGAAGCAGCAACGCCGCGUGAGGGACGAAGGGCUUUUGCUUGUAAACCUCUGUAGUGAGAGAAAAAAAUCCCAAUCUUUGGGACAUGAUGGUAUCUCAAAAGUAAGCCCCGGCUAACUACGUG
rnacentral:rRNA from 1 species